AAGAAGAGAUAAAGACGGGGGAUGAGAUCAGAGGGAGAAGUUACUGCAGUCGUGGGUGGCCCCCAGGAGGCCUGGCAGGCCAGGCCACUGUAGGAGCGAUUUAUAGCCAAGAAGUAAUUGAACAGAUUCAUACUUGACCACAAGCCCAAACAGAGUCCUGGAUUCUUGCUGUUAGGGAAGCUCAUUAAAAAGAGGAAUGAGAAAAAGACAGCAGACCGGGGAAUGGAGCUCUCUUCAGAAUCCGGGGAUUUUCCUAAAGCCCAAAGUCAAGGGUGUCCAGCAUUUCACCCUGUGAACUGCGGAGGACACAGCCGGAACGAAGCCGGGGUGUGUGAGCCAGGGCACAGGUCCUUCCCAGAUUCUGAAGCCAUUGGUGCCUCCUGACUUCCAGAACCAUGUGGAAUAAGUUAAAUGCAUUCCUGUUGUUUAUGAAUUGCUUACUGCGUUGGAACCGAUACCUCGCAUGUAUGGCAGAGAGGGGAUUUCUUACAUUGCCUACACCGUAGGAGCUGGGUAUUAGCUCCUUUUCUAAUACCCUGUGAUAAAACACCAUGACUGCAGAAGCUACAGCUGAGUUUAGCUUGGGUGAAGGUCCAGAGAGCUCUAUAAUGACAACAGGUAUCAGGAGUAGGGAGCUGAGAGAUCACCCUUUGGACCACAAACCUAAAACAGAGUGAGUGAACGGGCAGUAGGUUAAGUCUCAAGUUCUCAAAGCCCACCCACAGUGAUGACAUGAUAUCCUCCACCAAGGCCUCUCCCAAACCCUCAAGCAGCAACGACAACUGGGGACCAAGUACUCAACCACAGGAGACUCUGGGGCACUUCUCAUCCAAACCCCUGCAGCAGCCAACAGUGGCUGUGCAGAGUGGAGAAGCCCAGAGCCUGCUCCGUGGAAAGGGGAUGCUUCAGCUGUCCCAGCUGAAGAUUCCCGGAAGUUUGCUGGUCUUCAGGCCGUUCUGAAAGUUGAAGCUGGAUGUGGGCCAAGUACAGUGGCCGCAGAGAGACCCACUCACCAGUGAAGGACCAUGGCCUUUCCUCAGGCCUCUUUACGUUGAACUGCACCACCCAUGAGGAAUGAAUCUGUCUCGUUUAAUCCUUUCUGGAAAUGUCCCCGUAGACCACCUAGGGAGGUCUGCCUCAUAGUUGAUUCUGGAUCCUGUCAAAGUGACAAUAAGAUUAAUUAUCACAACUGGUGUGGGGUACAGCUGGGGUACAGUGUCAAAACCAGAAGAAACACGUUAGUACAGACUU
rnacentral:sRNA from 1 species